rnacentral:rRNA from 1 species
UACGGGGGGGGCAAGCGUUGUUCGGAAUUACUGGGCGUAAAGGGCUCGUAGGUGGCCAACUAAGUCAGACGUGAAAUCCCUCAGCUUAACUGGGGAACUGCGUCUGAUACUGGAUGGCUUGAGUUUGGGAGAGGGAUGCGGAAUUCCAGGUGUAGCGGUGAAAUGCGUAGAUAUCUGGAGGAACACCGGUGGCGAAGGCGGCAUCCUGGACCAAUACUGACGCUGAGGCUCGAAAGCGUGGGGAGCAAACAGG